UGGGGAUUGGUGUAAAGGCAGCAUAACGUACUUUGAAUGCGUUGGUAUCAGUUCGAAUCUGUUAUCCCCAG
rnacentral:tRNA from 3 species